GAGACAGGUAGAGACAAGCAGAGAUAGGUAGACACAAGCAGAGACAGGUAGAGACAGGUAGAGACAAGCAGAAACAGGUAGAGACAGGUAGAGACAAGCAGAAACAGGCAGAGACAGGUAGAGACAGGUAGAGACAGGUAGAGACAGGCAGAGACAGGUAGAGACAAGCAGAGACAAGCAGAGACAGGUAGAGACAGGCAGAGACAGGCAGAGACAAGCAGAGACAGGCAGAGACAGGUAGAGACAGGCAGAGACAAGCAGAGACAGGCAGAGACAGGCAGAGACAAGCAGAGACAAGCAGAAACAGGCAGAGACAGGUAGAGACAAGCAGAGACAAGCAGAGACAGGUAGAGACAGGCAGAGACAGGCAGAGACAGGCAGAGACAAGCAGAAACAGGCAGAGACAGGCAGAG